UGCCGGGGUGGCGGAAUAGGCAGACGCACAGGACUUAAAAUCCUGCGGUACGUGAGUACCGUACGGGUUCGACCCCCGUCCUCGGCAUCC
rnacentral:tRNA from 1 species